UUCCUCGAGAACACCUCGCUGUGCUGACUCAUCUGCAUCUUGAAAUAAAAGGGCAAAAUCAGAUUUUAUUGUCAUAUAGAUGUGCCCUAUGGUGCCCACCUCUGGACUUUUGUAGGCAGAAGAGAAGAUGCAAAGAAAGACGUGGAAUAGCUGAGGUUUGAAACUAUGUGGACUACACUCAGAACCAGGAAAGGCACAUCCAAACGAGUGGCCAUUAAGAUACCUUUAGACUGGAACUCCCUCACUUUGAAGAAACCAAACACAAUUUCA
rnacentral:lncRNA from 1 species